GUCUUUUUGAGUUUAAUUUAAAGUCUAAUCUGCCCACUGAUAAAUAUUUAAGGGCCGCAGUAUUCUGACUGUGCAAAGGUAGCAUAAUCAUUAGUCUUUUAAUUGAGGGCUUGUAUGAAUGAUUGGACGAGAUAUAAGCUGUCUCAUAAAAAUUUAAGUAGAAUUUUAUUUUUUAGUCAAAAAGCUAAAAUAAAUUUAAAAGACGAGAAGACCCUAUAGAUCUUUAUAAUUUACUUUUAAAUUUUUUUAGGUUAUUUUUUGAAUUUAUAAGUUAAAUUAUUUUGUUGGGGUGACAAUGAAAUUUAAUAAACUUUCAUUAUUUUGAAACAUUAAUUUAUGAUUUAUUGAUCCACUAUUAGUGAUUAAAAAUUUAAGUUACCUUAGGGAUAACAGCGUAAUUAUUUUGGAGAGUUCUUAUCGAUAAAAUAGUUUGCGACCUCGAUGUUGGAUUAAGAUUAAUUCUGGGUGUAGCAGUUCAGUUUAUUAAGUCUGUUCGACUUUUAAUUUCUU
rnacentral:rRNA from 1 species